AGUGGGAUAGCUGGGUCAAAUGGUGGUUCCAUUCUGAGCUUUUUGAGGAAUCUCCAUGCUGCUUUCCAUAGUGGUUGUACCAAUUUGCAGUCCCAUCACCAAU
rnacentral:pre_miRNA from 1 species